rnacentral:rRNA from 1 species
CCCUUAGAUGUUCUGGGCUGCACGCGCGCUACACUGAUGCAUGCAACGAGUUCUAUCCUUGGCCGGAAGGCCUGGGUAAUCUGUGAACGUGCAUCGUGAUAGGGAUAGAUUAUUGCAAUUAUUAAUCUUGAACGAGGAAUUCCUAGUAAACGCAAGUCAUCAGCUUGCAUUGAUUACGUCCCUGCCCUUUGUACACACCGCCCGUCGCACCUACCGAUCGAAGGUAAUGAUGAGCCCUCAGGAUUGUGGCCUCGUCGCGUCAGCGUCUUGGCUGCGAGAAUCUGUGCAAAUCCCUACCUUUAGAGGAAGGUGAAGUCGUAACA